rnacentral:rRNA from 1 species
GAUGAACGCUGGCGGCGUGCUUAACACAUGCAAGUCGAACGGGAAAUAUUUCAUUGAGACUUCGGUGGAUUUGAUCUAUUUCUAGUGGCGGACGGGUGAGUAACGCGUGGGUAACCUGCCUUAUACAGGGGGAUAACAGUCAGAAAUGGCUGCUAAUACCGCAUAAGCGCACAGGGCUGCAUGGCUCAGUGUGAAAAACUCCGGUGGUAUAAGAUGGACCCGCGUUGGAUUAGCUUGUUGGCGGGGUAACGGCCCACCAAGGCGACGAUCCAUAGCCGGCCUGAGAGGGUGAACGGCCACAUUGGGACUGAGACACGGCCCAGACUCCUACGGGAGGCAGCAGUGGGGAAUAUUGCACAAUGGGGGAAACCCUGAUGCAGCGACGCCGCGUGAAGGAAGAAGUAUCUCGGUAUGUAAACUUCUAUCAGCAGGGAAGAUAG